AGAAAAUUAAAGAAGUUAAUCUAAAAUAUAAGAAAGUACAAUAAUGUUACAUAAAUACUUCUAUAAUAGCAUAUGAAGUUGCAACCAGACUCAUUCCAAAGCCGUAAAAAGAUACAGUGCUUUAACACACUAUUCUUCAGUCACUGGUUUACCAUACAGCACAAAACCUACCUCUAAUACCAGAAUAGACCAUCCAUCCCUUUUUUUAAUUUCCUAUCCCAGAAAUGGGCAGCAAAGCUGAAAAUCCCACUGCAGUUCACCAGUUCUCUUCAGGUUAGUAGCUAGAUAUGGAAACAUAGCUGAAGGAAGCUAUGUUUUACAAUUCCCCUUUUACUUAGUUACCCUUCUUUCUUCCUUGGAAACCAGAACUGCCCAAAGAAGUACUGUGCAACCCUCUCAAGCGGAAAGGCAGCACAUCCUUAUUCUGGAAAAGCUCCUUCUUGCAUUGUCAGCAUCACACUAACCAAGUAAGACCCUACUUUUUUUUUUUUUUAAGUACUUCUACUGCUAAGAUGACGUGUAAUUGCGAUGCCUUAAGUUUUAGCUUUCACAGUUUUCAGAUUCUGUACUGUCUCAUUAACUCUAAACUUCAUAUAAAGUGUUAGCAAGUCCUCUUCACAGUUGAAUUAGACAAAACAAUCCUUUUCCAGCCUGAGAACCAAGGACACUGUUACAGCUUCCGGCCCAAAAAGCACAAACAACAGCAAAUUGAGGAGAGCAAUGUGGGAGGAUGUGACUUCAUAACCUGAAGCUUUAAUUGGACAAUUAGUCCCAAUAUGCAAAUAGACCAAAACUUAUUAAAGUGUGAAAACUCGUGACUGUUCAUACAUCUUGAGUAGAGCCACAGCCAGGCUCUUGUACUGUCCAAAGUGUAUCCUUCGAAGGCCUUUUAAUAAAUACCUACUUUAUCCUUUAACACUGUUUAGCCUCUGCUCCAGGUUAGCCUCUCUAGGCAUCAGUUGUUUAGCUACAAGUGACCAACUUCACUUUCCAUGACUUUCAGUAUCAAGGCAAGCUCCUGUCUCAACAGGAAACCAGCAUCUACUUAGAAGCCAUACGGCAUUGUCUUACAGGACCGGGCAAAACCUGUUUCUCCAACUUGUAGGAAUGUGUAGGAGGAACUCGACAGUGAUGGAGGCAGUUCAACCUCUCCUUACCUCACAGCAACUGGAUGGACACCACCAACUUGUACUUUUCAAACCCCUAGUUAAAGGAGAGUUCUAGCCUCUAUAACUUAAGAGCUGUUACUUGUUAACACAGCUUGAUUAUAACUACUUAAGCAACCCGUGUACUUACUUGAAAAGGGUCUAGUCACCUACAGACAGCUGCUUGCUAAAAACCUCACAUACAUGUUUUGGGAGUGGCAGGAACUGAAGAGGAAAUAUAAAGGAAAACAGACUAGAGAAUCUCCAGUUUAGAAGUCCACAUCACUCUGCUAGAGGCAAGAACACACUGUAAAUUGUUACCUCCAUCUACUCUACACCUCUAUUCUUUUCUAAAUAUUCACAAGGAGAUGACGGAGCCAGCCAGACCUUUGGGCUCAUGGAGUCUUGCUAUUCUCACACACCCCUAAAGUAAGAACAUCGUCUGACAAGUGUAGUGCAUUGUAGCACUGCUGCUGUUAUUACUGUCAAUAACAGGCCUUUCCCAUUGCCCUUUUAGAAGUGAAGUUUUUGGUCUUCUUUAAUACACUUUUUAGUAAAAAAUGUUCUUAUUCAGAAGCAGUGAAGUCUUAACAUGACUGAGAUAUUACCUAGAAAAAAGGACUCUGCCUAGUAGAACAUGCAUUCCCAAGAAUUCUUGUUUACUGAAACAGAAAAAGCAUACCUUCAGUGCCAAACACUGGUUCAGUAAACAGUGUUCAGCACCAGUAUUUAUAGCUGUGCUUUUAGGUUUAGUUUCAUCGGGACAUCACCACAUAUAGACACUUCCUGCUACCACAAUGGCAUUGGCUACAAGAGCUCUCUACACUCACACAAGUCAACAGGAGGGGAUGGGGGAACACAGAAAUAACACCAAUGGUACCUGUAGGUUUCAGCCUGCUUUGAGAAACAAUGCCAGUACCACUGCUUCCCUCAACAUCAUCCCUUCUUUCCCCUGCAAAAUAGCUUUGGAAUCUGUUAGCCUACUUGAACAAGAUGCGGAAGAAGCCCAAGAAACAUGACAAAAACCCUCAGAGGGGUCAAGAGGCUAGGGAAGGAGAGGCAGUCAAAACUCACUCUCUGGCCAGCUGGCUGCAGCUAAGUGGAGAAGUAUGCACACAGUUUAAAAACAACAUUGUUCCAUGGAGGUGACUCCAAUAUAUUCCCCCUAAAACAGCAUGCUAGCAAAAUAUUAUUCCCUGCAGACAUUUACAGUCUCCCUAAGUAUCACUGUGGGCCAAAAGAACCUCAGGCAAAAGCAUGACACUGAACAUACAUGGCACAGUCACUGGUAAGCCUGAGCAUGGAGGUCUGGCAAGGAGGAGGACAAGCCCAGAGGAAAACAUAGUAACCAACUAAACUGAUGAGUCACAGAAGGCAGUUGAUGUGCUGACGUACUUCCCACCAGCAAAUGGAAGCCCACAUAUUUCUACAAGAUGCUGUCCUCUGACACUAUCAGAGGAAGCAAUUGCCAGCCACUCCUACCCACAACAAAAUAGGUUUUUAACAAGGAGAGCCAAAGCUUCCUAUGACCAGGCGAAAAGAGAAAGCUGAGUAACCUUUACCCAUAUGCUCAGAAGUCAGACAUUUGGAUGCCUCAAGCAAGCAUAAGAUUUUGCUUCUAACAGAGUCUUUGUAAAAGAAGGCUUAAGGGAACCUAACUACAGAGGCGACCAUUAAUAGGGACAUUUAAGGUGGACUUUAAGUCCAUUUUCAACUAGUAUUUACAGUGAUCCCUUUCCUCACCAUUCCUAAUAAAAAGCUUGCCUAGCAAUAAGGCCAUUUUGCAAAACCAUCACCACGGUGGUUUUCAUUUUCCUGCUAGUUCAGGAAAGGUACUUCUACCUUCACUUCCCCCCACCCCUUCUCUCCAAGCAAUAGGAAUAGGCAAACAAGCUAAAAGCAUUACCAGGAAUGAAACAAGCCACAUUAAGGCAAGAAGCAGCCAGAUAUACCAGCAGAUAUGAAUGUGUUGAUUCCUGUGUACUAAUUACUGACAAAUGAGGCAAUGGGGAAAAAAAAAAAAGAAUUGCAUAAGCUGUGCCUCCGAUCUCAGCUCUACUGCAAUUCUUCCUAACUCCACUCCAGAGAAAUCCUUUACCUGGCUUCUCUUUCUUGCAGCAAGACCUCAGUUCUCCCCUUCAGAAGAGAAGGUCCUAUGUAUCCUUAAGGAAAUUUGGGACUCUACACUGUAAGUCAGCUUCAACUUUGCCUUUACCAAACCCUCAAAAGUUACACAGUUAGAAACAGUACACCCCUAUCGGCAGCAGCCUGCAGAUUGAAGUCCUGUCCUUUUCAACAGGUUGAUCCUAUUUAAUCGCAAUGAAAACGAGUCACACUUGCUACCCAUCGGGCUUGAGCAGAGAUGGCAACAUGACAUUUCGUUUGCCUUCUUACUAACAGUAAAGUAGAAGCCGAACCCCGCCCCUCCAAAAAAAACCUCAAAACAAACAAAUCCUACUAAACCUGGAAGCAUUACCAAAGCAAGAUACUUAAUAGAUAGAAAAGUUGUGCCAGGACCUUAACAUUAAGGAGAGGCACACAUGGUGUCCAGCAGCCCAUUCCGGGGGAGACGCCGCCGGCACGUGCUGGGAAGGGGCUGAGCCCAGCUGUGCCCCACUCGCUGGCCCGCACACUCCGGGCCGAUAAGGCACACACGGGCUCCCGCCCAGCUCCGAGCGCGUCACGGCCGGCGCCGCGCGGCUCCCCCGGCCCGCGGGGAGGAGGAGGCGGCCCGGCCUGACUCACCGCGGAGGAGGGGCGAGCGCGCCAGCCCGGGCUGCGGGCGGCGGCCGCCAGCGGACCCCCGGCGCCGCCGCAGCGCAGGGCGUAUUCCCUGAUUCGGGGACAUAGCAUUGCACGGCAUGGGUGGGCGCUCUCCGGCCGCUUGUCCGUGCCUGUCCGUGGCCACACGUGCACAUAGCUGCCAAUUUAUAAUACAUUUCCUCUGCUUCAGUAUUCAAAGUCGUUUGAAUUACAUUGGAAGAAAUCAAUCCACCAACUUAGGAUCCUGUGAGGAUUAAACCAACCCCAGUGAAUUUGGAGUGCUGAGAACUGACAAAAGCAUCCCAUAAGAUUUCUGGAUCCCAUAGGAGCUGCUUCUCAAAGAACAUCUUUAAUAUGGAAAUGGAGGCAGUUUUACAAAAUCGACUGAGUUGUUUAAAGCCGCUCACGCUGACCACAACCCACAUCUUUACCAACGACUCGAAUAGCACAGAGACCUCACACAGAGCUGCACUGAACGUGUGUGUGCCUGCACUGCAGAACAAAAAGGGAGACUGGCAGAGCCCCCGUCACCUCCCUGCUUGGUCAGGACAGACAAGGGCGAGCUCCGAGCACCACCAGAGAUCUGCGGGGACCCUUGGUCUGAGCUGGGCAACUGCAGAUCAGAGCCCAGGCAGAAGCUUGGCGUGAGCAGCUCAGCUCAGAACCGCACACGCUGCCUUCGCCCCUCCAACACCUCUCUUGAAAAUGGCCUUUCCCUUGAAUUUAAUGGUUCUUUCUGAAGCUAUUGCCGGGCUGUGCAAUCCUUUCCACAGCGACGAUCUGUGCGUCACUACGGGAGGCACGAUGGCGGGCAGGGGCGGGGCCAGGACGGACACCGCGGCCGGGUCGGCAUCGCAGAGGGGUCGGCGUCAGGCAGCCGAGUAGACACCUUUGUAAGGAGCGAGGGCCUUACUGGUACCAUACCAAAGAUGGCGGCCCAGCAGAAAGCUGCUUCUGCCAGCACCUAAGAUGGUGACGAAGUGAGGCGGUGACGUGAUGCCACACCAAAAAUGGCGUCUCACCCGGGAGUUACUUCCGCCAGUACAAAAGAUAGCAAAAAAAAAAAGUUGAUCACGUGACGGCACACUAAAGAUGGUGUCUCAUCCGACAGUGACCUGCCAGUAGCCAAUGUGCCGGCAGUCACGUGAUGACACACCGAAGGUGGAGGGUCGGCACUGGGUUUAUUUGACCUUCCAAAGAUGGCGGUAUCUUGCUCAUGAGCCUUGGGUAGGGGAAGAAGUCGCAUCCUGGAAGGAGCCCGCUCUUCUCAAAGACGUCUGUUCGAUUGCCUGAACCCGACUCCAACGCCGAUUCCGCGCUUCCUGCUUUUCACGGCGUUUCCCGGUGUGGGGACAUGGGCUGUGGGGCCAGCGGCGCCGGGAGUAGGCAGCAGGAUGCAGCUCCUCUUUCGCAGGAGGUGCGAGGUGGCAGCCGGAGCUGGAGACAAGGUUUGCCAGGCAGGGCCAGCAGGGAGAAUUCCCACUGCCAGUAGCUCCCUGGCAGUGCUGGGUGGAUUCGGGCUAGGGAGGUGGGAGGUGUGGGGAGUGCUCAUGUCCCCGGGAGCUGCUGAAAUGGCAGCUGGCAGCAGCCUCGUGUGUCUGUGUGGAGCCAGCCAUAGCGCUGGCAGCCGGGUGAGAGCUGGGAAGUGAACAUCAGCAGUCUGGAAACAAGGCAGAGAAAUGGGUUAACAUGGCACGGACUUCUCCCAAGCAUCUUGUGAAAAACGCCAAUCACUUGUUUUAAAAUUUUUAAAGUUUAAUAAUAAUAAAAUGUUUAUAAAAAUUGUAAUGAAAAUUAGAGCAAUAAGAAUUUGGACAAUCAGAGUUAGGACAAUAAAGGACAAUAAAAAAGCAAAGGAUUACA